GACGUAGGAGGCGAGCGUUGUCCGGAUUCAUUGGGCGUAAAGGGCUCGUAGGCGGUUUGUCGCGUCGGGAGUGAAAUCCACUGGCUUAACUGGUGGCUUGCUUUCGAUACGGGCAGACUGGAGGUAUGCAGGGGGAGAACGGAAUUCCUGGUGUAGCGGUGAAAUGCGCAGAUAUCAGGAGGAACACCGGUGGCGAAGGCGGUUCUCUGGGCAUGUCCUGACGCUGAGGAGCGAAAGUGUGGGGAGCGAACAGG
rnacentral:rRNA from 1 species